AGUCCUCCGCAGGCUUGGAUCCCUGAGCGGAGCAGGCCACUGGGGCCUUCUGCCGUGAGAAGAGACCUACUGAGAGGCGGGGAGUGGGGGUGGGAGUGGUUGCUUCUGACCUGUAGGACAGUGGUCAGCGUGGGCGGGUGGAGGCACAGGAGAAGGCCGACAGGCCCUGGGUCCUAGGGCCACUCAGCUGCUGGAAAAUGAAGUUCAGAGUUGUUUGGACUGUCUGAAGUAGGAUAGAACCAGCCUUAGCCCUAGUUAGGUAACACAUGGCAGAGGCACCUGAGCAAAGACGUGAGCUGGACCAUGGGCUUCCUGGCAGGACUUCCACGGAGGAGGGCGAGGGGAGAGGAGCAAGGGAGCAGAAGGCAGCUUGCCGUCCACGAAGCCUCCUGAGGCCCCAGAUGAGUCACCAGACAACAGCCUGUCUACUUAAAGCAACUGCUGGGCAACUGCUGAGUAGAACAGUCCCUAACCACAUGAACACUGGGGAGGAGGUUCUGAAAGACGCUGCUGGGUGCAAGGUCCCUAACUAGGGUAAUCCAAUUUCACUCCAGGCUAACAUGAGAAAUUAUGACUCCAGCAGCCAAUCCUGUGGGCCGUGAGAGAGUGGGAGAGGGAUUUUCCAGAUAUAAGUCCCACUAGAGCUUCUUUUUUUUUUUUUUUUUUGAUACGGAGUCUCACUCUGUUAUCCACGCUGGAGUGCAGUGGCACCAUCUCGGCUCACUGCAAGCUCCGCCUCCCGGGUUCAAGCGAUUCUGUUGCCCCAGCCUCCUGAGCAGAUGGGACUACAGAUGUGCACCACCAUGCCCAGCUAAUUUUUGUAUUUUUAGUAGAGACAGGGUUUCACUAUGUCGGCCAGGCUGGUCUCGAACUCCUGACCUCAUGAUUCUCCUGCCUUGGCCUCCUAAAGUGUUGGGAUCACUGGCAUAAGCCACAGCUUCCGGCUGAGUCCCACUAGAGCUUCUAAGAAGAAAUUAGGGAAGCAGGAUUAUGAGAGGCCUGGUCCCACUCACAGUGUGCGACAUCACUGAUGACUAUGCUUGGUUACCUGCCUUGUUAUUUGCUACCUUUGUUAUUGUCUAUUUCUUGGUAAUUAGUAGUACACUAUAGUGAUUAGGAGUGAUCAAGAAGAUGCCUGGCUUCAUAUUCCAACUUUGUCGUUUACUAACUGUGAACUUGGCCGAGUUUUUUUUUUUUUGCUUGUUUGUUUUGUUUUGAGACAGGAUCUCUCUCUGUCACCCAGGCUGGAGUGCAGUGGCGUGAUCUCAGCUCACUGCAACCUCCACCUCCUGGAAUCAAGGGAUCCUCCCACCUUAGCCUCCCAAGUAGCUGAGAUACACGUGUGCACCAUCACACCUGGCUAAUUUUUGUAUUUUUUGUAGAGAUGGUGUUUCACCAUGUUGCCCAGGCUGGUCUUGAAGCCCUGGGCUCAAGCCAUCACCCACCUUGGCCUCCCAAAGUGCUGGGAUUACAGGCAUGAGCCACCUCCUGACCUCAGGUGAUCCACCUGCCUCAGCCUCCCAAAGUGUUGGGAUUACAGGCAUGAGCCACUGUGGC
rnacentral:lncRNA from 1 species